GGGUCGAUGGCGUAGUUGGUUAUCGCAUCUGUCUAACACCUGUAUUGCUUCCUUUGUUGUGUUCACAGAAGGUCCUCAGUUCGAGCCUGGGUCGACUCA